rnacentral:rRNA from 1 species
CCUACGGGGGGCUGCAGUGGGGAAUAUUGGACAAUGGGGGCAACCCUGAUCCAGCCAUGCCGCGUGUGUGAAGAAGGCCCUCGGGUUGUAAAGCACUUUCAGUGAGGAAGAACGCCUGGUGGUUAAUACCCAUCAGGAAAGACAUCACUCACAGAAGAAGCACCGGCUAACUCCGGGCCAGCAGCCGCGGUAAUACGGAGGGUGCGAGCGUUAAUCGGAAUUACUGGGCGUAAAGCGCGCGUAGGUGGCUUGAUAAGCCGGUUGUGAAAGCCCCGGGCUCAACCUGGGAACGGCAUCCGGAACUGUCAAGCUAGAGUGCAGGAGAGGAAGGUAGAAUUCCCGGUGUAGCGGUGAAAUGCGUAGAGAUCGGGAGGAAUAGCAGUGGCGAAGGCGGCCUUCUGGACUGAAACUGACACUGAGGUGCGAAAGCGUGGGUAGCAAACAGGAUUAGAUACCCUAGUAGUC